rnacentral:rRNA from 1 species
ACCCGCUGAACUUAAGCAGCGGAGGAAAAGAAACCAACAGGGAUUGCCCUAGUAACGGCGAGUGAAGCGGCAACAGCUCAAAUUUGAAAUCUGGCGUCUUUGGCGUCCGAGUUGUAAUUUGCAGAGGGCGCUUUGGCAUUGGCAGCGGUCCAAGUUCCUUGGAACAGGACGUCACAGAGGGUGAGAAUCCCGUACGUGGUCGCUAGCCUUUACCGUGUAAAGCCCCUUCGACGAGUCGAGUUGUUUGGGAAUGCAGCUCUAAAUGGGAGGUAAAUUUCUUCUAAAGCUAAAUACUGGCCAGAGACCGAUAGCGCACAAGUAGAGUGAUCGAAAGAUGAAAAGCACUUUGGAAAGAGAGUUAAAAAGCACGUGAAAUUGUUGAAAGGGAAGCGCUUGCAGCCAGACUUGCCUGUAGUUGCUCAUCCGGGUUUUUACCCGGUGCACUCUUCUAUAGGCAGGCCAGCAUCAGUUUGGGCGGUUGGAUAAAGGUCUCUGUCAUGUACCUCUCUUCGGGGAGAACUUAUAGGGGAGACGACAUGCAACCAGCCCGGACUGAGGUCCGCGCAUCUGCUAGGAUGCUGGCGUAAUGGCUGU